GGGUCAGCGACUUAUAUUCAGUGGCAAGGUUAACCAUCUAGGGGAGCCGUAGGGAAACCGAGUCUUAACUGGGCGUUCAGUCUCUGGAUAUAGACCCGAAACCAGGUGAUCUAGCCAUGGGCAGGUUGAAGAUUGAGUAACAUCAAUUGGAGGACCGAACCGACUAAUGUUGAAAAAUUAGCGGAUGACUUGUGGCUAGGGGUGAAAGGCCAAUCAAACCUGGAGAUAGCUGGUUCUCCCCGAAAGCUAUUUAGGUAGCGCCUCGGACGAAUACUACUGGGGGUAGAGCACUGUUAAGGCUAGGGGGUCAUCCCGACUUACCAACCCUUUGCAAACUCCGAAUACCAGUAAGUACUAUCCGGGAGACACACGGCGGGUGCUAACGUCCGUCGUGGAGAGGGAAACAACCCAGACCGCCAGCUAAGGUCCCAAAUUACUACUAAGUGGGAAACGAUGUGGGAAGGCUCAGACAGCCAGGAUGUUGGCUUAGAAGCAGCCAUCAUUUAAAGAAAGCGUAAUAGCUCACUGGUCGAGUCGGCCUGCGCGGAAGAUGUAACGGGGCUAAGUAGUAAACCGAAGCUGCGGCAAUAUACUUUUGUAUAUUGGGUAGGGGAGCGUUCUGUAAGCGGUUGAAGGUGUGUGGUAACGCAUGCUGGACGUAUCAGAAGUGCGAAUGCUGACAUGAGUAACGAUAAAGGGGGUGAAAAACCUCCUCGCCGGAAGACCAAGGGUUCCUGUCCAACGUUAAUCGGGGCAGGGUAAGUCGACCCCUAAGGCGAGGCCGAAAGGCGUAGUCGAUGGGAAACGGGUUAAUAUUCCCGUACUUCUUACAAUUGCGAUGGGGGGACGGAGAAGGCUAGGUGGGCCUGGCGACGGUUGUCCAGGUUCAAGUGCGUAGGCUUAAGAGUUAGGUAAAUCCGGCUCUUUUUAAGGCUGAGACACGACGUCGAGCACCUACGGGUGUGAAGUCAUUGAUGCCAUGCUUCCAGGAAAAGCCUCUAAGCUUCAGAUUGUAAGGAAUCGUACCCCAAACCGACACAGGUGGUCGGGUAGAGAAUACCAAGGCGCUUGAGAGAACUCGGGUGAAGGAACUAGGCAAA
rnacentral:rRNA from 1 species